rnacentral:rRNA from 1 species
GACGUAGGGCGCGAGCGUUGUCCGGAUUUAUUGGGCGUAAAGAGCUCGUAGGCGGCUUGUCGCGUCGACUGUGAAAACCCGCGGCUCAACUGUGGGCUUGCAGUCGAUACUGGCAGGCUGGAGUUCGGUAGGGGAGACUGGAAUUCCCAGUGUAGAGGUGAAAUUCGUAGAUAUUGGGAAGAACACCGGUGGCGAAGGCGGGUCUCUGGGCCGAUACUGACGCUGAGGAGCGAAAGCGUGGGGAGCGAACAGG